rnacentral:misc_RNA from 1 species
AAGUCGUAACAAGGUUUCCGUAGGUGAACCUGCGGAAGGAUCAUUACUGGGUCAUAGGACGCUCCGGCGCCCGACACCAACCCUUUGCUUGUGGCCUCACCUUCGGCGCUAAAAGGGUCCCCUAUGGUUUCCAUGAGGGCCCUUGCCGAACGCAACCCUGAACAACGAUGCAGCCUGAAGUAAAAAAGCAAAUAGUUAAAA